rnacentral:rRNA from 1 species
UACGUAGGGCGCAAGCGUUGUCCGGAAUUAUUGGGCGUAAAGAGCUCGUAGGCGGCUUGUCACGUCGGUUGUGAAAGCCCGGGGCUUAACCCCGGGUCUGCAGUCGAUACGGGCAGGCUAGAGUUCGGUAGGGGAGAUCGGAAUUCCUGGUGUAGCGGUGGAAAUGACGCAGAGUAUCAGGAGGAACACCGGUGGCGAAGGCGGAUCUCUGGGCCGAUACUGACGCUGAGGAGCGAAAGCGUGGGGAGCGAACAGG